GGGAAGCUUGUUCAGGAACUCACUGUGAUGCAGAGAAACUUAAAGAAGAGUUAAAGAAAGACAGUGAAAGGCUUUUGCAAGUCAUUAAAUUCUGGACUCCUAAUGUAAAGAUACUCCUUCAACUUUCUUCAGAGCUGGAUGCCAAAACUACCACUUACUGUAAAAAUGCAGAUGCUGAAUCAAAACAGAGGAAAGAGAAAAGUGAAGAGUUGCUUCAGGAACUAAGCACUCUGAAAGAACAGCUGGCUCCUGGUGGCUCUGCCAGUCUCGCAUUAGAAGAAGAAAACUACAGACUUCAUAACAAAUUAAAGGCUGCAGAACAAGAUCUAAAGGCUAUGGAAAUUAAAAUUCAGAAGUUGGAAAAUGUAAUAGAUGAAUCAAAAAAAAAUGUCAGAGAGAAAGAUGACAGGAU
rnacentral:lncRNA from 1 species